GUGGGGAAUCUUCCGCAAUGGACGAAAGUCUGACGGAGCGACGCCGCGUGAGUGAUGAAGGCCUUCGGGUCGUAAAGCUCUGUCAUCGGGGACGAAUGGUCGUUGGAGUGGAAAGCCAGCGAAAUGACGGUACCCGAGAAGGAAGCCACGGCUAACUACGUGCCAGCAGCCGCGGUAAUACGUAGGUGGCAAGCGUUGUCCGGAAUUAUUGGGCGUAAAGCGAGCGCAGGUGGGAUCUUAAGUCCAUUUUGAAAGUUCGGAGCUCAACUCCGUGAUGGGAUGGAAACUGGGAUUCUUGAGUACCGGAGAGGAAAGCGGAAUUCCCCGUGUAGCGGUGAAAUGCGUAGAUAUGGGGAGGAACACCAGUGGCGAAGGCGGCUUUCUGGACGGUGUCUGACACUGAGGCGCGAAAGCCAGGGGAGCGAACGGGAUUAGAUACCCGUGUAGUCC
rnacentral:rRNA from 1 species